UCAAAGUCAGUCAGAGAAAAUCAUUCAAAUAUGCUUAUCCUUAUGAGGAAUGACUAUUUUGUUAUGGCUAGAGGUAAUGUGCGCUUGAUACUAAGCGCUGAUGAUUUUUUUAUGUUACUGAGAAAUAAAUGAAGAAUAUUCAAGGGCACAAAGCACAUUUUCUCAAUGAAAAGUCUCAGAACGGGGACACAAAAGCACAUGAUUGAUUUGAAGCAGCCAUAGAAAGGACGUGCAUCUAAUAUUUGCAGCUUUUCUUACAGCUGACUAGCUCUCCACGUGUUCAAUGGCUGCGAGAUACUGUAUCCAGAACUAGAAUUCACUUUACUAUAUUUAAAUAUAUGUAUAUUACUUGUAAAUUGAAGAAAUACAGAUUAAUAUAUGAGGAAUUAAUGAUGAUUUUUGCCCACAAAUCAAGUGUCUAGACUGCAGAGAAGAUUAUUUCAAAACUAUUUCUUUUUUACCAAAGGUUUUACCAAAAAAGGUAGGAAAUGUUCUGCAAACUGCACAAAGUUUUUAUUUUCUGAUGAGUAAAGCGUGUCUCUGACUAAUGCACUUUGCCUAUUGAAAUAAAUUCAUUUUCCAUCAA